rnacentral:tRNA from 1 species
UGGCUGAAUGAAAGGCGAUAGAUUGUAAAUCUAUAAAUGGAAAGGAAACCCCUUAGCCAA